AUACGUAGGGUGCAAGCGUUAAUCGGAAUUACUGGGCGUAAAGCGCUCGUAGGCGGUUUGUAAAGUCGGAUGUGAAAGCCCCGGGCUCAACCUGGGAACUGCAUUCGAUACUGGCAGGCUAGAGUAUAGUAGAGGCAAGUGGAAUUCCGGGUGUAGCGGUGAAAUGCGUAGAUAUCCGGAGGAACAUCAGUGGCGAAGGCGACUUGCUGGACUAAUACUGACGCUAAGGAGCGAAAGCGUGGGGAGCAAACGGGAUUAGAAACCCCAGUAGUCC
rnacentral:rRNA from 1 species